AUUGAACGCUGGCGGCAGGCCUAACACAUGCAAGUCGAGCGAGCGGCGGACGGGUGAGUAAUGUCUGGGCAACUGCCUGACGGAGGGGGAUAACUACUGGAAACGGUAGAUAAUACCGCCUACCAUCCGAUUUGCCCAUUAGGGAAUAGACAGUAGGUGGGGUAACGGCUCACCUAGGCAAAGAUCCCUAGAUGGUCUGAGAGGAUGACCAGCCACACGGGAACUGGUACACGGUCCAGCUUCCUACGGGAGGCAGCAGUGGGGAAUAUUGGACAAUGGGCGCAAGCCUGAUGCAGCCAGGCCGGGUGUGUGAAGAGGUCCUUCGGGUUUUAAAGCACUUUCAGCGGGGAGGCGUUACCCGCAGAAGAAGCACCGGCUAACUCCGUGCCAGCAGCCGCGGUAAUUC
rnacentral:rRNA from 1 species